AGAGUUUGAUCAUGGCUCAGGAUGAACGCUAGCGGGAGGCCUAACACAUGCAAGCCGAGCGGUAUUUAUUCUUCGGAAUAGAGAGAGCGGCGUACGGGUGCGGAACACGUGUGCAACCUGCCUUUAUCAGGGGGAUAGCCUUUCGAAAGGAAGAUUAAUACCCCAUAAUAUAUUGAAUGGCAUCAUUUGAUAUUGAAAACUCCGGUGGAUAGAGAUGGGCACGCGCAAGAUUAGAUAGUUGGUAGGGUAACGGCCUACCAAGUCAGUGAUCUUUAGGGGGCCUGAGAGGGUGAUCCCCCACACUGGUACUGAGACACGGACCAGACUCCUACGGGAGGCAGCAGUGAGGAAUAUUGGACAAUGGGUGAGAGCCUGAUCCAGCCAUCCCGCGUGAAGGACGACGGCCCUAUGGGUUGUAAACUUCUUUUGUAUAGGGAUAAACCUUUCCACGUGUGGAAAGCUGAAGGUACUAUACGAAUAAGCACCGGCUAACUCCGUGCCAGCAGCCGCGGUAAUACGGAGGGUGCAAGCGUUAUCCGGAUUUAUUGGGUUUAAAGGGUCCGUAGGCGGAUCUGUAAGUCAGUGGUGAAAUCUCAUAGCUUAACUAUGAAACUGCCAUUGAUACUGCAGGUCUUGAGUAAAGUAGAAGUGGCUGGAAUAAGUAGUGUAGCGGUGAAAUGCAUAGAUAUUACUUAGAACACCAAUUGCGAAGGCAGGUCACUAUGUUUUAACUGACGCUGAUGGACGAAAGCGUGGGGGAGCGAACAGGAU
rnacentral:rRNA from 1 species